rnacentral:rRNA from 1 species
UACGAAGGGGGCUAGCGUUGCUCGGAAUCACUGGGCGUAAAGCGCACGUAGGCGGCUUUUUAAGUCAGGGGUGAAAUCCUGGAGCUCAACUCCAGAACUGCCUUUGAUACUGAGAAGCUUGAGUCCGGGAGAGGUGAGUGGAACUGCGAGUGUAGAGGUGAAAUUCGUAGAUAUUCGCAAGAACACCAGUGGCGAAGGCGGCUCACUGGCCCGG